UCUCAUGAAGCUUGGACUGGGAUCUUCUGACUUCCCUCAACUGGGGCUUUAAAACUUCACACAGAUGAAUGGUUAAAACGGAUCACCAAUCAGGCAUCACAAUAGAAACGCCUGGCUCCAGGGAGGCUGCGGCACUGACUGGUGUGUGCCUGAAGCCCGCUUCUGCACAGGAAGUGACCGCGGGUGGUCCCAAGCCUGCCUUGCUCUCUUUCCUGAAACAGAUCAGAUGCUCUCCAGCAGAUUCCUCUCUGUUUCCUCCUCUAUAGGCGGAGGAGGAGCGAGCGAGUCGUCCUGUCUGCCCCUCUAUGCAGAAGGUGAAGCAGAGGCACCAGACUCACUGGAGACAUCCUGACACAUAAUGCCUUAUCCAGCACAAUGAGAUGCCCUUUACCUAGUCUUAUGAAGGUACUGCCUUCCCUCCAGAACAAACAACGGAAAUGCAUCAGGAGGGCUCAGCUGCAGACAGAAUGCACCUCGAAGCAGGAGCCACUUGGGGAUUCCUCGGAUGAAAGCAGAUUUCAAUGAACAUUGUGUUUCAAAGCUUGCUUCCUCUCACCCUGCAAGGACCACAGAAGGAACAUCCCACUUGCGGCUGCUGACACAAAGGAAUGCUGGGACUGGGAGAUUUUAUCCGACCUUCCUGUGCCGCAGUAACAGAGCUCCGGUUGUGUCUUAUAAGAAUGGCUCAUUGUUUCUUGGGGACUACUGGCUCCUUUGGGUGGGAUCUGAUGGCAUCUCUGGAGUUGGAGGUGGUAGGUGGUACCGGGAGACCAGCCAGCUACAGGCCCCACCUUGUCGGCUCCCUGGAAGCCACUUGGCAUGGCUUUCCAGUGGUGGAUGCUACAUCACUUAAAAUUUAAACACGAUCUGUUUGCUUACUAGUGUCUUCAGCUAUACAAGCCAGGGAAAUAGAAGUGAUAUCCAGGGUAAAUUUGUUGGCAGAAAGUGUUUUGUUUUGUUUUUUUUCUACCGCCCCUCCAGCUGUUUGAUUAUUGACAAAACUGAGAAGCCUCAGAAAGUGUUUUGAAAAUAGAAAUGUAAGGAUUGAAAUCCGUAUCUGGAGGGUUUAGAUGCCUAUUUGUGAGUAUUUUUAGCUUGCAUGACAUAACCUCAAAAAUGCAUAUUUGUCCAGUGAGGAUGAACUCCCAGUUUUAAACCACCACAAUUAUAAUGAAGAAUAUAAAUUGAUAACAUUGGGCUAGUUAAAGUGGGCCAAUCUUAGAUACCGUCUCCUUUUUCUCAGAAAGUUUUUGGUUGUCUAUCAGUAAAGAAACCAUGAUGGUUACGUGGCUGGCUACGUGGAGGACAGGAUUUAUUCUCUUCCUUUUCUUCUCCCUGUUCCUCGAGGCCUGCCGACACUUGUGAUACAUGAGAAUCCUAGCAUUGUCAGUAACAGCACAUGGUAAGGAGUAAGGGUAACAACCAUGACUUCUCCACAAAAGGAAAGGUCACUUGUCUGCCUGUAACUUUGUCCAGGUUUACAGGAUAACAAUAUCACCAAACACCUUCUUUGUUCUGAACAUCCUUACUGAAAUUUCCACAUAUUGACAUUAGCUAUGAAUAUAUUUAUCUCCCCUUAGUGAGCUAUGGGCAAUUCAAGAAGGAGAAUCCUAUUUCCAUUCAUCUUUCUAUUUCCAGUGUCUAGAAAAUAUCAUAUCCCUAAUGAUUGGCUGGGUGGUUGGAUGCCUGUGCUAUAGCAUCUAACAUAGUAACCAGUGGGGAUUCAUGUAUCUAGUGACUGGGUGGGUGGUUGAAUGUCUGUGUUAUAUCGUCUAACAUAGUAACCAGAAGGAAUUUGACUCAGGCUCUCUAUGUCCUCCUUGGCAUAACUGCACAUGUAAAUCAGUGAUGCUUGUAUUGGUCUACCCUUAGAUGCACAGAAUCCAGAGAUUUUUCAAUAUCACAUUGUUUUGCUCCUUUGGUUACAGCUGAGAUGAGGUACAAUGAGAAUCGCAUAUAUAGUCACGUAUCUAGGAAAUAUGCCACAGCUCUCUGUUAAAACUCUAGAUCUUUGAUUGGCAAUCAAAUGCUCCUUGCAUUAUGUUGCCUUCUUUGAUUCUCCUUGUUGGAGACCCUGAGGAACAGGGCACCCUGAGGAACAAUCUCUCUACUGGCUGAUCUGGGCAGUGGGCGAUCAAUCCAGGCCAGAGAGAAACCAGUGAAAAGACAGGCUUGGGGCUUCAGCAUUCACAUGCUCGUGCUGUAAAGAAAACUAACAAGAAUGCUAUUCAGGCUGGAGCCAUUCAGUGUCUCCCUCAGAUAUCCCACUCAGAACUUACUGGCUGAAGGCUGGGUUGCCUAGGUAACCUCUGGAGACAGCCAUGCCUAGCUCUACUCCACUGGCGAGGGUUUCUGUUUGAUGUGGAAAAAUCAGGUCUUCAGAAGCCUUAUCCAGAGAAGCAUAUUCCUGUCUACUUACCAGUGAGGCUGAUCUAACGAUUGCAUCUCCAGAUCUUCCUGCUACAAGGAAAUGUUCCAAACAUAUCCCUUCUGAUAACCUGGUUGCUUCUUAGAAAUCAGUUUACAUCAACAUUUGAGUUGUACAACCUAAGUAAAUACUGUUUAUACUAUAUUGAUCAAACUUCAAUAAAGCUUUGCUCUAUAAAGACUGUAUGUCAAGGCUGAAGAGAUUGCUUAGUGGGUAAGAACACUAGCAGCUCUUCCAGAGAACCCAGCACCUAUAUGGUUGCUUACAACUAUGUUAUUCUAGUCCCAGGGAAUCCAAUUCCCUCUUCUGGCUCCUGAAGAUC